AAAAACAAACCUUCCGAACACACGUUAGUUCCAUUUUUGCACUUAUAAAACCUUUAAAAAAACGUCAUUAAAACAAAUUUAAACAAUUAUAAAUAAUUUUAAAAAAUUAAAGUUUAAAACUAAACAAAUAUUGAGUCAUAAAGAAUUUUCACAUUACCUCAAUUAUUUCUUAUCUGGUAUAGGUUAUGUUAUUUCGUUUUUUUUUUUUACUUUCAACUUAAUUGAUAGGGCGGACGUUUGGGUUCCGGUUGGAUGGUUUCGUCGCAAAACACGCAAAUGAGGUUUAUUAAAACUCUUUGCGGCUUAAUAUUUCAAGUAAUUCUUACAACAUAACAAGAAAAAAAAAAAUAUGCUGCAACUUGAGAGAGACUAUAUCAACCGUGUCGAUUGUAAAUUCGAGCACAACUACUGUUGUUAUGUUGUGGUAGGAAUGGAAAUCGUUGGAUACACACGAUAUACAGUAAACAAAUAAAAUCGUUAUCUUUGGAUUUUUGCUAAAAAUAACUGAAACCAAUCUGCAUCAUGUCUGAGAGAAAACUGUGGUGGACCCAGUAGAGGCUAUAGAAAAAAAAAUAUAUUUUUACACAGAAAUUUUGACUUAAAAACAACUGAUGCCAAUGCGAUAGUAACAGACAUUUUAUCACUUGUCACUGCAAUUCCGGUCUUGUGCUUUUCUCAACAAUGCUAAUCUCCGGCCUUGAUUUCUUCAAACGUCGUCGUUGAGCCAUGAAAAUAUUAAUGUGUUACUAUUCCAUUUGAAUCAAAGAAACCAACAACAUCAAUCAAAAAGAAGUAGCUAGUUGUUGGAAUAAAAGCUUCAAGCUCAACGAACAACGAUAAUGAUUUAUAAUCAGAG